CCCUCUCGCUCCGCGUCUCCCCCACGCCCGCCCGCCCGCCCGCCCUCGGCCGGGAGCCGGCCCUCCGCCCGCCCGCCCCAGCUCGCCGCUGCCCGUCGUCUGCCGGGCGCGCGUCAGGCUCGCCGUGGCUCGGGAGAUGCUUUCGGGCGGCGGAGUCCAGGUGAUCCGGCCCCGGCACGCGUGAGCCGGGGCUUGCGUGUGUGCCUCUCCUUGGAGGGGACCCCAGCCGGCCGAGGGCUUACGGGGCCCAGCUCCCGCCCCCGCCCCCACCCGCUGUGGCUCGUCGAGUUCUUUGCCCCCCACUGAAUAGCAACAGUUUGGCCACGCUCGAGUGGAAUAAAGUAGACGAGGUUCGAUUCCCGGCAGAGGCGGCGGCAGUGACAGCGGCGGCGCUUAGCCGGUAGGGAAGGUGACAGGGACUGUACGCGAUCCAGCCGAGAUGUUUAACUAUUUCCUUUUGGAAACCGCAAAGCACGCUGACAAGUAAACAAGUUGGGAGCUGGCUGCUCGCGGGGAGACUUUGGACAUGUCGUGGCCGUCAUGGACGCCUACCUCUUCCCUUUCCCUCUCGCCCGCCCUCUCCAACCCCAUUUUGGGCAUUUCCGAGACACCCCCCCGCCUUUCCCACCCUCAUCUGCAUCUGGGCGCCUACAGAUCCCGUCCUUGUGAGCUUUGAUGACUGCUCCGGUAAUUCCGAGUCAGGAUGGAGAACGGAGCAGAGGGGACUGGCGUGUCUUGGGGAUGGGGGUUAUGUGAUCUUGCAGAUGCGUUUUUUGGGGAAAAUCCAACUCGGAUCGGCGUUUUGUUUGGUUCUGCCCCAUCUGAGCGAGACCUAUGGUGGCCCGUAUUUCCCACCCGUCCCCCUCCCCCCAACCUUGGGUAGGGGUCGGGGAUAGAACUGUGAGCCCCGGGAAAGAAGAGCUCAGGGUCCAGGGAAGCUGGGCCAUCUUUUCUUCCACUGACCUCAGGGCCAGGUGACCCCCCCCCCAUUUUGACAUCCAGAGAUGGGUGUGGACGCACUGGGGUUGCCCAGGGCAUAGCUCUCUUAUCCCCCUCCCGAGGUCCACACCCCUUGGGGUCCCUCAAAGUGAGUAGGAAGCCAAGAGGGAUUCACACUGAAGUCUGGGCUGGGGUCUCAGGAAGGCGUUUGGGGUGGACUCAAGCCCUGCUAAGUCUGCCAUUGGUGCUGCUCUCCCCGGCGGCAACCCUCCCUUUGCCUCAGAGAUGGGGCGGCCAGGCCGGGAGGAAUGCAGUCCUGCUCUCCCAAGAAAGCCCGCCAGCCUUUUGGUUUCGUGGAGAGUGUGCUCGUGUUCUUGCCACUAACGGUUUGAGGAAAUGUACGGCCUGGGAGAUGUCUCUGACUCCUGGCCCAGGAGACCAGCUUGACCCACAUCUUAGCUCUGCUGCUCACGUCCUCACUACCUUCAGCGGGUGGGCCUGGGAUAAGACAAACAGCCAAGGUGGGAGGGGUUGGAGGGGGGCAGGGGCUAAACAGGAUGGACCCAACUCUGCCUCUCCUGCCCUUCGGGCCACAGCAUUCCAGCAUCCGGGAGGAUGCUUGGAGGAGGGUCUGGAGCGGAUUGUCAGGGAAACUCCAGCUGGGAAGUGCACCAUCGGGCUGUGGGGGCUGGGGUGGGGAGAGCAUAGCAGUGGGUCCAGGGGCUCAGGAGUGGGAUCUAGGGAUUUCCAGGGGGAUUAGUGGGCCAAGGAUUGGAGAGAAGGGGGCCUGGUGUGGGUCUCUGGGAGCUGGGGAGCCUUAUUCAGCUUGUUCUCUGCUUCCAGGAUAUGUGUAUCCGUAGGAAGCCAGAGGGAGGCAGGGAUGGCCACAAUCACGUAGGCUCUCUGUAGCCAGGCAGAGGUUUUCAGCGCUCCUCUGAAAGCGAUGCUUGGGGAAGCAGUUUGAUCGAGGAGAGUUGGCUUCUCUUUCCAGGCAGUGGUUCCGAGACAGAGGUGCUGGAAAGGUGGGUGAUGGGUGGGGAUGGGGCAGUCUCUUGUCCCCUUGGGUGUUGGAGGACUCCAGUGGGACAUACAGGAGGACGGUGGGCAGGGAGUGUAUUGGGAGAGUGUGUGUGUGUCCCCAUCCUUGCUUCGGGACUCUGCAGAUGGGACUCCUCUCUUUAAAUCCACCCCAACACCUAAGAGCCAGGGAACUGGAUUCCCACAGGAGCUGUGUGGAGUGGCAGGUGGGAGAGAGGCAGGUCAGAGGUCAUGGGUCGGAUGACCCUUCCUCACCCCAUCUUUUCCCCAGUGCCCUGUUACAUCUAUGGCUGGUAUUGACUGAACUCGGGGAAGGGCUUCGUCUUCUAGCCCAGAGGCAGAGAUCAGUGGAGGGAGGCAGGGGGAAUCAUGCUCAGCCUGGGAAGCAGAUGUCACCGUGUCCUGUUUUACCCGAGGGAAUGGAAGCUCAGGGUGGCAGAGUAAUGUUUGGGGGCACGUAGCCCCAGUGGAGAGCCAGGCUUGGAUCUCUGUCCGUCCAACACCAAAGAUGAGGCCCCAAUUCUGCCUGGAAGCCUGUGGAAGCAGGCCGGGAGGAGGGCCUUAAGGACAGACAGAAGCUCUCACUGCAGGGCAGGAGGCCCGACUUCGGCAUGAUCUGGCAAGGGGGCUUGAGUUGAAGCCGGGGCUCGGCCGGAGGAAAGCGUGAUCUUACGAUUUCUGGCGCUAUCAGAGAUGCAGAGUUGAGGGGUCCUGCAGUCUUCUACUAGCCUGAAGCUCUUGCUGGUGGAUGCUUAGGGGUGCAGCUUGGGCAGACUCUGGGGGAUGAAGAAGAGGCUGGGGUGUAGCCAGAUUUCGACAUCAGGCCUAGCUACGGGAACUGGGGGGGGGCUGGCUUCCACAGAUGUUGUGGGACCGUAGAGUUCUAAGGUCCUUCCCUCAGUGCUUAACUGACAAUACGUAAAUUUUAAGACAGUUGAGAGGUGCCUCAUGGUCUUUCUCUCAGGGUCGUGUGUGGCUUGGCUGUUGUGUACCCAUCGGAGGCUGGCUGAGGGUGCCUCUGAUGGAGCAGGGGGCUGUCCCGUUGGUAUCAGGAGGGAAGCCGCUGUAAGGCAUCAGGGCAGAAGUGUGGGUCUGCCCUCCGCUCCUCCCCAAGGGCCCUCUCCCUUGGCCUCUUUCUGUUUAGGAGGCCAGUCCUUCUGGAGCCCAGGGCACACAGUAACCUUACCUAGAAGGGUCCACGCACUGCCCUGCUGCGCUUUGGCCCCACCAGGCUCUGACGUCACAAAGGCAGAGGGCGGUGGCUGGGAGGUGGGCCCACUGUCUAGGUCAAGCCUGCCUGGGGUUGGAUCUGAAUGGUGUCUUCUUUGACUGUCUGAAGAUCAAAGGGGAGGAGAUGGCUCACAGGGCCCAGAGUUCCUGGGACUGGCUACCCCGCCUUGGGAAUACCAUGAGCUCUUUCUUGGCUGGGACUCUGAGCCACCAACUGGGUCUCUGCAGGAGCCACCCCAGGAUGGCUGGUGUUUGCAGCUCUCAGGUCCUUCUGUGUCCCCGGUCUUCCCUGCAGGCCCUUGCCUGGCUGGGUGAAGGAUCUUUCGGGCUUUGGCUGCUGUAUUGACUCCUUGAUACUUAGCCUUUCUAAGGAUCAAGGGAAGAGCCAGCCUUGACAAUUACCCUUGAGAGCUGGGAUGCAGGCAGGGGUGUGAGCCAGGCCCCAAGGGCAUCAUGGAGCUCAGCCAGGCUCUGGAGAGUUAGGCUAGGCCUGAGGGAGGUGGGCUCAAUCCGGAGGCCUUUGUGGUGAGAUUUGGAAGGGGGAGUGGUGGCAGCUCUGGGGAGUGGGGCGCUUCUGGAAUGAAAACUGGGGACCCUGGACUCCAGAGGUCCUGGGAUUUUGCUUGGAGACAGAGUCUUCAGCCCCCACAAGCCCAAAGAACUCUGGCUCACCUAGAAAGAGCCACACAGUUUGGACUCAACUGCCCAGACCAAAUGCCACACUUAGCAAUGUACUGGGGCCUGCAGCCUCUGAGAGGCCAGACACCCGGCUUCAUGGCUGUCUGUUCUCUCCUCUGCGCUCAAGGCAAGAAGGAGACCUCCCUCUGCAAAGCUUCCAGUCAUUGCCCCAGCAGAGACCUCCUCUGGAUGUGAGAGGAACAUGCUAGAACUUCCAUUUCAAGUUAUUCUUGUCUAGAAAAGGGAAUGUUCAAUAUUUAGCAUAUGGACUGAAGAUACACAAGCAUAUGGUUUAAUAAAUAGGAGCGUUCUGG